GAAGGCCUUUUCAUUAACUGGCGGCUUACAGAGGCCUACUCGAUUCCCAACUAAAGAGAACACAGGCCUACCGGGAUCUCUGCCAGUGACAGAUUGUCAGGAAGAACAGUUACACGCUGAACAAGGCUAUAUUGCAGAAGGCUGCAGGUGAUGCCCAUAUCCUGUUUCAAACCUCCAUACAAUGCCAUGAGACCACAUUUUGGCGAGGCAUUUUGCCAAAAAGUCCACAUUCUUAUGUAUGUCUCCACAUUUUUCAUUCAUUUCUUCUUUGGCGUGGCCCGAGUUGGGAUGGGGUGGAAACAAUGGCUCCACUCUUACCACGGGUGUUAUUGCCAACAGAGAGGGAAUUUCUUGGGCAACGAAUGAUAAAGUACAGCAGGCAACUUACUUUGGGUCUCUCACCUAAGCUUCCACUUGCAGAAUGGGUUCUUAUAAUGGCAAAGAGAUUUACGCCUCUUUCAAGAGUCUCCUUCCCAUGGUAAAAUUCCAGUUUUCUGGUUUGGUGUUUUUGUGACUUUGUUUGUGCUCGUCAGUCCUGGGCGAUCUGGUUUUUGACGAACUCAAAUUGCAAUGUUUUGAUCUGUGAAUGAUUUAGUUUCAUUGCAAAUCAAUGUUUAUUUGACUUCCGUUGCAAAUAACAGUGUGUUUCAUCGCCGCCCUAAGUUAUGAUUACCCUUCUACCUUAGUGUCCCAAUGUCUUAUUCAAAUGCCUAUUUUCUUUUCCACAAACAAGCUUUUUGUGGCAUGUAAUGGCGGGUAUUGUUUUCUGUUCUUCCAUUUAAGGUAAUGUGGUUUUGAAUUUCUCCAUAAUUCCAAUGCCUAAUUCUUGUUACUUCGGUUUUGUUUGAGCUUUAGUCAUUGACCUAAAUUUAAGCGUAUAUAAAACAGCCUAGCUUUUUUGGAAGUACAAGUUUUGAGUCCAGCUCAGUUCUGUUUGUGAGCUUUCAGAAACCGGUGUGGACGUUAUCUAGUUCUUGAUAUAUCAUUUCUGAUUUUUCUUUAUGUCCAUUCUCAAACUUUUUGAAAACUAGCAAUGAUUUUGUGUAAUUUUCAAUGCUUCAUAUUUAAAUGUAUCAUCUUUCCAAUACCCAGGCCUUUUAGACUUGAGCUCGUUGAAUGAAAAUGCCUGCUUUGUUCAAUUUACGUUUCUUCCUACAAAAUUGGCAUUUAUUGAUAAAAAUCUCAAAAGUUUGUCGAGAUUUCAAAACAAAUAAGCAUUUAACAUAUUUGGAUAAGUUUCAGGGAAUAUGUCUCCCCUAUUGAUAUUCCUUAUACUCAUUUCGUUUUCCCUUCAACUGCUGAUUACAAUUGCCUCUACGUAAUUCUAACUUGGUGUCUUGUUCUUUUCAGUUCAAGACACAUCCUCAUUCAGCUUAAUGUGUUUUAACAAGAUCAAUCAUUUUGCAAACAACACCUUAUUCUGAAUUUUACAUUUUUUAAUAGAAUCUAAACAUUAAUGUUUCUUUUCAUUGCGGUUUCCUAAAAGAAUCCUGCUAGUAUCAGUAGUUAGCUACAUAAGUGUUGAUCUUUGAGUAGAAUGGCUAAAAAUAUAGCAUGAUGCAAAACGAUGAAUUCAGCUAGUCUUCAUUGGCAUAAUGCUUUUUGGGAGAUAAUGAUAUAAUCUUGUUAAACAUCAUUUUUUUAGUUUAUAUUUUUUUUUCCCAUGAUUCAAAUUUCUUUUAGUGUGCAAGACUUGUAUUUCUUAUAAGUUUUCUGCAGUUGAAUUUGAAAUUAAACCUCGGGCAUGGUUUUGUCAGAAAUCCUUCUAGAAUCGUUUUCAUAGAGGGAAUUACAAGAUAUCACUUCUAACAAAAAUGUUUCAUCAUAUGGUUGAUUGAGGAUUGGAUGUUGAAUUCAUAGACUAAUUGUUUGUUCAGUAAAGGAUGAUCCUGAAAAGAGGGAGCUGUUGGGGACAAUGGAGAACAAACUGGAAUCUGAUAAUGGCUUGUAAGAUUUAAUCUGUAAUUAUCAAGAAGUUCCUUUUGAAAGUUGAGGAUCAUUAUCAUGACAGAUUCAUGCAGUUGAUUUUCCCUGUAGAUUCCAUGCCAGGUUAACUGUGAUCAAGUGGGAAAUAUUUAUUUCUUGAAUGAAUUUUAUGGGCAAUGUUUUUUGAUUGUUUGUUCUCUCUUUCUAGAGACUCCAGAUCAGGUUUGUAAUAACACAAUACCAAUUGUUGAUUAUCAAUGGAUCUAAAGAUUUGUUUCUAUUUUAUUAGAUUAAGUGCAAGGGAAUUGAUUUGCAGUCUGAAUUCUUCUCAUGAUAUCCAAAAUCAAACAAAGUCUUUUAACAUGUAUUUCUAAUGCCAGGUCAUAUUUGGAGUCUAAAGAAUGGCGUUCAUUGGGUUUCUUUAGAUUUAACUACGUUUCCUAGUUCUAAAAGUCAUGGCUCAGAAUCUGGAGAAAAUUAAAAAGUAUCCAUUAAGUGCAUCUGAUUACAAAAUUUAUGAGGAAGUGGGACAAGGUGUCAGUGCAAUAGUGCAUCGAGCACUUUGUACUCCUUUCAAUGAGAUAGUUGCCAUCAAGGUUCUUGACUUGGAGAAAUGCAAUAGUAAUUUGGGAUGGUAAGAAAUGCAAGGACGUGUUUUGGGGACAGCUGUGCGAGGAGGCCAAUUUUGGGGGAUGACAGUAUAUUAACAUUUUAAAACUAAGUAGGAAAAUUUGUACAUAAUAAAAUUCAAAAUAUAGGAAUGACUCUGUAUGCCUAUAAAUGUGCAUUGAUAGAAAAACAAUAUUACAUACAUGGAUGUGCUUAAAAAUAUAAAUUCCAUUCUUUUGGUUGUAAAUUUUUGUAUUUCACUGAUGUAGCUUGUACCGAUUGGCAAUUCAUUUACACAAUGACUUUGUGCUUGCUCUGCAUCACCAUGUAUAGUUUACAAUUUUGUGUGUAUGCAACUCUAAAGCAUUACAACAAAGUUGCAAAUCACAUAAUGAGUUUUGCACAGUUUUAUUCAUGACCUCAUAGAAAUUACCGCUACUGAUUACAAUUUUAUUCUGUAUUUUGUUGUUUUUCAAACUUUUUUUUGUGGGUUGAAGUCUGGCAGGACAUCUGCCUGUUCCUGGGACAUUUGUAGAAAAUUUAGGACACCUCUGGGAUGUUUCCCGAAUUUUUAAUUUUAGGGGAUAGCCAGGAAAUGUGUCUGGGCUGUCUCCUGUACCCAAAAACAGUAGGGGAUAGGGAAACCGAAGGAAGGCCCUAGGAUGUGUUCCUGUGUAUCCCUGUAAAUUGGGAUUCACAACACUCCUUAUCCUACUGAACAAAAUAAUAUUCUUAGAUGACAUGUUGAUUUUAAUGUCAUUGGCUAGUUCUUAGAUUUAAAAUCUGAUACUGGAUCAUUCUUGUGUCUGUUUGGCAUUUCCUAUUCUAAAAUUAUUUAGAAUAUGCAAUGCAAGGCAGAGAAAUUUAUUUUGUCACUUACAUUGUAGCUUGUGUUUAUAAAUAUAGAGGCAAUGAAUACAAAAAUCUUGAUAUUUAGAGUCUCAAUAAAGGCUUAAGUCCUAUCAUGCUGGGGAAGGACAGCUUAAUAAUUGAAAGUACUAUCCGUUUUUUACUUUUUUUUAAGAAGGCUCUUGUAUAACUUGGCUCUUUAUGCGGAAUGCUUUGCCUAACUUUGCUUGGUCAAAUGCUAUGUGUGUGUUUAAAGUAUCAACUAUAAUGCGUCAUACAAGAAAGUAUUUAGUAAAUCUUAUUCUAUCUGUUUUCUUAUCUAUAUUUAUUAUCAUACACAAAAGCUCUCAAACAAGAAAAUCUCUUUCAAAUCAGAACAAAAUUGUGUAUUUUCAUCACAACCAGGUCCUGCACCACAAAUAUAAGCUCCUGUAUCUUUAAUGCAUCUCCUUGCUCCUCAACUGUGUAGUUUCUUCUCAAUGUUAAAUGGGUAAUUAUGUAAUUUCUGGCAUCUUUUAGCGGACAAGGUUUUAAUCUCUGAGGGGGAAACUCUUGCGUGUUAAGAACUCAAAAUUUUUUCUUGGAUGUUAAGAACUCAAAAAGUUUUCUUCUGUCCUUGGGCUUCAAUGCAUGUAUAAAAAACCUUUGUCUGUGCCCUUGUCCACUGCCUCUAAAAAGCUAGAUAAUAGUUUAAAAUUAAUCUCAGCUUCUUUUAGUUCAAAUAUUAGUUUUUCAUGUAACUUUUUUAAUAGCUAUCUCCAAAAUAUGGAAAUACUUUUGCCACCCUAAAAAUGUUUCAUUCCUCAUCCUGGAAACAUUGCAAAAAUCAUCUGCUAUCCUUUGAUGGAUUUAAAUACUCUAUUACAAAGCUCUUUUUUUAUUGACAGAGGACAUGAGUAUUUUGACAGAUUAGAAUAUCAUCAAGUGUUGUGUGAAGGAAUGCAAUGAUUGUAGGAUGGGCACAAAUUGGAUUUGUAGAUGCAGACUGCACAACCUUUCUCAGUGUGCUUUCUGUCUAUAUAAAACAAAAGUUUUGGAACAGGAUGUUGACAUUGAUCAAAUCAUAAAGAAUUGGAAUGGAAAAAUGUCUAAAUGUUUAGCGAUUUCUUCCUAAGCAUGAAAUGUGCAGUUGUAAACUGGCUUUAAAAUCUCAAAUUUUGUGCUGUAAAACAGGAAAUACAGCUAACAAAUUAGCAAUCUGUACUAAAAUGGGCCACUUUCUAACAUAACUUUCAUCU